UCGAAUCAGAAUCUGAACGCUGCCAUUCAAUUCGGAAUCAUUCGGACUUUUUGAUUCGGACACUAUCUGUCAUCCUAAUUUGUAAGCCAGUGUCAUUUGGAUUUUGGAAUAAUAAAAAAAAACACGAAAUAAAUGCCGGAGCAUCAAAUUUAUUUGCUAACCAAUUUUAAUCAUAUAAACCAUCCUACUUUAACCAAUAUUUAUAAAAAAAAACCUUUCCAAUAUCUUCAUUCAUUUGCGCCUGAGAAAAAAAGUGAAUGUUUAUUCUUUUUCAUGUUAUUUGAGGCCCAUCGUUUAAUAUCCUCAUCAACAACAUGCAACAGGACACAUACGCCGCUGCCGCAGAACCUACUCCAAGGUUGAGUUCGGGCAGAUUCGACCCAUGACGAAGAUGGAUUUGUAUUUUUAUAUCUAUGAAUAAUGUAGAUACAGGUUGGUUAAACAAAAUAAAAAUACUACACAAGAAGACAUUGUA